AGACCACUGGGGCCUCCCAGAAGCCCUCCAGCAAACCUGCAGCAACAUGACUCUGUAACUGCUGCCAAGGGGUUUCGUCUGCCUGUAUUAACUCCCGCAGCCUUAGGACAGGAAGGCUGGGUUGGCACACCUGGCGGCACUCUCAGGGCUCAAACUGAAGGUGAGCACAUCUGGCCAGCUGCCAUGCCGCACAUGAUCCCAGGUCCCUUUGGGGUCCUAUAGCAGCCAGUGGUUGUUUUGAAGUGGAAGGUACCUUUUGGGGUGCACCACACCAAGGUCCUGCUCCAGAAGAGGAUUUAGUGGCUGCGGUUAGCUCAGCCCACAACUCCCGAGCCUAAAUCCAGACUUGUGAACCUCAAAAUCCUGCCCAAGCUGCUGCUGAAGCUUGAAGAGAAUUUGGACUUGGGAACACGGUAUUGAUGCUCCUCACACUUAGAAAGCAGAAGCAGCAAGAGCCAGCAACCUGCAGCCCAGCCAAGCCCACCCUGGAGGGCCUGGGGCACAGAGACGUGCUUUGGGUGAUGGUUCAUCGUGCUGAGCACAGCUCCUUGUCCCACUGGACAUGAUCCUCCUCCUGUCUUGGUCAGAUCUGGGCUACCAGAAGGUUACCCUAAUCUGCAGAGGGACAACUACAGGCACCAGCAAGCGGGGUGAGCUGAGGAAGCACCUUCUCCCCUCACAUAAGCGACACAAUCUAAAGCAAAGCCCUGGGCCUGUGCGUGCUAAAGAUCUCCCCGCUCAUCGUGUCAAAGCUUCUCUGAGACCCCCCCUCCAUCCUCAUCUGCAGUACCUGAACCACCGGCAUCCACCUCUGGGCGCAGCUUCUCUUCUUGGAC